CGGUGGAAAAUGAACGGCUCCCGUUGGAAUUACAACCAAUUGCAGAGUAAAUUGAACGCGAUUCAUGGUGACUCAGUCGAUGAGGUAAAGGAGUGAGAGCUCUCUGCAUGGAAAACACCGUUCCCGAAGGGAAAUAUCAGAUUUCUCCUUUAGGAUUUCAUCUUUCGGGGAAAAUUCUCUCAUGACUUUGAAGGACUGCUCAAAGGUCAACUUUGGGGGGAGGAAGGAGGUACAUCGUUUUGAGGAUUUCAGUUCCUUUCAUCCUGCACUCGUCGGAAUAUCCUCUCUGGAAUGUACACGAGAUUUCCCCCGUCUAUACACAGACGGGGAGCAACAUUCUAGUCGUCUGUGCAACGAUCUGGAAGGUUUCUCAAAAUAUAGGAAAAUGUAUAUCUGCCAUCGUAUUUCGUUUCGCCCUCACCAACGACGACGAGAGGGCGAAGAGGUUCACGGUGCCUUCCACGCUUUCAUAUAACACACAAAUAUAGCGGGUAAAAGUACCAGCAAAUACGAUAAAACCUUGUAUUUGCGUUUGGUCUCUCGCCAAUCCAAUUUCGUUGGAUAUCGGAUAAGUGUCAUUUGUGCUUUAAAUCGCAUCGAUAACAUUUGCACAGCGGUGUAUCAGUCUCUCACCAUUUCUUUUCAUAUUUCCACCUACUGGUAGACCAUAUAUGUGCUCUGGAUGUAUCGAAAUCUCGCGCCUUCGUUAUUUUUUUUUCUCCAAACGAAAUCGAAUGUCGAUCUAACUUGAAAGUUAUGAGCUUUCAUAAUUCCAAUUUGAAUUUUGGCAAUUUAGGGAAGGUGUUAAUUUAAAAAAUUAUGAAUCAAAAUUCAGCAUGAAAUCCCCUCUGCAAGGGAAG